AUGAGUCACCUUCUCCUCUUGUAAACCUCCCUGCUCUCCUUGUGGAUGAAUCUUCUUUUCUCUUUUCAGCUAUUAGGGAGUUUCAAGAUGCUGAUCCAUGAUCUCUAGGGAGUCAGUCUGCAGACUCUCCUUUAUUUGGAGGUGGAAAUCUUUCAUGCCCACGCACCAGAAGUAGCAGCUAUCUGAUUUCAUUCAUGGAGGCGCAAGAAGAGAGCAAGAGUGCCUCAUGUAGUUUUUUUCCAGAAGCCAAUUAGCCAAACAUUUCAGAAGCAGGAGUUGAAGCCCAGUCUGCCUGUGUCCAAGGGAACCUAUUUGUAAUCUCUACUCCUGCCUAAUUGUGAGCCCCAUUUCUGUUUCCAACCACCCAGAGGGGAGGAAGAUGCCUUUCCACAGAUGAAGAGAGAUGCAGGACUUUCCAAGGUGCUCCUUAAAUACUUGUAGAGCUGAAAUGAAGAACUGGGAUUUCUGAGUCUAGAGAAGCCUUGGAGAUCUCGGCAGCUGCCUACAAAUCCCAGGCCUGACCAGCAUCAGAAGCAAGGGGACCCCUGAAAGGCUAAACACCUCCUCGUCUUGUGAAAGUAGAGAUGACUUGCCAAAGCCACGCACCUAAUUAUCAGCAGAACCAAGGUCUUUGGGCGCUAAUUCACCAUUUUUAAGGAAAUGUUACAAAUAAGACAGAACAGACCUGACUUUGUCUAUUCCAGAAGGCAGAACUAAGACCAAAGGUUAGCAAUUACAAGUGAGGUUGAAGAGUCUCAGGGCUAUUCAGAAAUUCUUUGAUUGAGUUGAAAUUAGCUCUUUAUGAAGUUAUCCAUAGCAACUUUUUCACAGUCCUCCUUAGCUUUUCUUCCUAUCAGCAUAUUAUCUUUCAACUCCUACUUUACUGAGAAGAUCAAGGCCUUCUAACAUAAGUUCCUCAAAAACUCAAAAUUUCUCUCCAUUUUGAUAAAGAAUUUCCUUCCUUCCUUCCCUUUUGAGGUGUAUCCCUCCCAUUCCCCAAGGCUGACAUUCUGCUUUUUCCUGUUCAUGUUCAAAUCUACCCCAUGCAGCCCCUUGAAUUACCACAUUUUAUUGCCAAACUUCUAAUAAAAGUAGCCUCUACUCAAUCAAUCUAUAAACAUUUAUUAAGUGCCUACUUCAGGGAGAUGCUAAGGAUACAAAGAAUGGAAUCAUUUUCCUAUGCAAGGGGCUACAUGCUGUCAGUAUACAUAGAAAAAUAUGAACAGAAAAAGAAGUACUCUGGGAAGGAGGGCACUAUCAAUCAGAGAAUCAGGAAAGCUUCAUGUAUCGGUGCAAACUCAAAGAGGUGAGGGUGAGCGAGGAGGGAGGGCAUUAUAGGCAGAGGGAAUGGCAACUGCAAAGGCAGAAAGAUGGGAGGAGAGUUGUAGUGAAGUACCAUGAGAAAGUCAGUGGGGCUGGACUCCAGAAUGUAGGAAUAAUGUGAAAUGGGGAUGGAGACGUUGGUUGGGGCCAGGUUGUGAAAACUUCAAAAAUGAGAUUAUAUUUGA